rnacentral:rRNA from 1 species
GUGGGGAAUCUUAGACAAUGGGCGCAAGCCUGAUCUAGCCAUGCCGCGUGAGCGAUGAAGGCCUUAGGGUUGUAAAGCUCUUUCAGGGGGGAAGAUAAUGACGGUACCCCCAGAAGAAGCCCCGGCUAACUCCGUGCCAGCAGCCGCGGUAAUACGGAGGGGGCUAGCGUUGUUCGGAAUUACUGGGCGUAAAGCGCACGUAGGCGGACCAGAAAGUCAGGGGUGAAAUCCCGGGGCUCAACCCCGGAACUGCCUUUGAAACUCCUGGUCUUGAGGUCGAGAGAGGUGAGUGGAAUUCCGAGUGUAGAGGUGAAAUUCGUAGAUAUUCGGAGGAACACCAGUGGCGAAGGCGGCUCACUGGCUCGAUACUGACACUGAGGAGCGAAAGCGUGGGUAGCAAACAGGAUUAGAUACCCCAGUAGUCC